rnacentral:rRNA from 1 species
CCUACGGGAGGCAGCAGUGGGGAAUAUUGCACAAUGGGGGGAACCCUGAUGCAGCGACGCCGCGUGAGUGAAGAAGUAUCUCGGUACGUAAAGCUCUAUCAGCAGGGAAGAAAAUGACGGUACCUGACUAAGAAGCCCCGGCUAACUACGUGCUAGCAGCCGCGGUAAUACGUAGGGGGCAAGCGUUAUCCGGAUUUACUGGGUGUAAAGGGAGCGUAGGCGGCAAUGCAAGUCCGAAGUGAAAGCCCAGGGCUUAACCCUGGGACUGCUUUGGAAACUGUAUGGCUAGAUUGCGGGAGGGGCAAGUGGAAUUCCUAGUGUAGCGGUGAAAUGCGUAGAUAUUAGGAGGAACACCAGCGGCGAAGGCGGCCUGCUGGACCGUAAAUGACGCUGAGGCUCGAAAGCGUGGGGAGCAAACAGGAUUAGAUACCCUUGUAGUC